rnacentral:rRNA from 1 species
UACGUAGGCAGCAAGCGUUGUUCGGAAUUACUGGGCGUAAAGAGUGUGUAGGCGGUGCUCCAAGUCUGGUGUGAAAUCUCCCGGCUUAACUGGGAGGGUGCAUUAGAAACUGGAAUGCUAGAGGAUGGGAGAGGUAAGCGGAAUUCCUGGUGUAGCGGUGAAAUGCGUAGAUAUCAGGAGGAACACCGGUGGCGAAGGCGGAUCUCUGGGCCUUACCUGACGCUCAGGUGCGAAAGCUAGGGGAGCGAACAGG